AUAUCUCAGUCAUGGCAGUACAUCAAGCAGGCAUCAAUAUGACAUCCACCAUGAUAUCUUUUAUUGGAGCAACGAAAGAAAAUACACACAAGCACAUAAACAAACUGACACACUGGUUUGGAUACUCUCAAUGGGAUCCUGUUUUAUUGAACACGAUGGUGAGACAUAACUUUGACCUGUGAAAUCUAAGACCAAGCAUAUGCAUUAUUAGUCAUCAAGGGAUGCCAAGAGAGUAUCCCCCUUACAGAAACUGUCACAAGCAACACCGCAGCGUUUCACAUAGAGUUUCAUCUCUUCAGUACUGUUGUCAGCUGGUGCCAAAAUAGGAUAGUAUGCGUCAAGAACUAACUUUUCAAUUAGUUUGCAUGUACAAAUGAAAUAUAAAUAUACUCAGAUGGAUUUUAUUUACCUGUGUUGAUCAUGUUGUCACACACGGAAGACCUACAUCCCAAGCUGCAAUACUCAAUGGCGUUUGGUUCAUCUGCCAAAACGAAGUAGAUCUGAGAUAAACAAUUCCUCCGUUACAAUAUGUCGAUGUUUUGUGUAUGGGAUGGCCUCUAUCAUUCAUUCUUUAUUAGCUGUUUUCACAACAAUUUUUGGUAGAUUUUUUCUAGUAUAAUGAAAAAUCCUUCAUGUCAAAUCUUAUCAUACAAAUAUGAACUAACAAAUUCAGAAUAGUUUAUUGUAUUAAUAGCUAAACUUGGAAUUUUUUUUAGUUUGACAUUACACUUUUUUAGGAUCACAUCUACUUUGAAAAGGAGAUAGUAUAUAAAUUAGAAGUAGCGAGUUGUCUGUCUUUACCGGAGCUGCGUACAGAGGCCAGGCCCGCGGGGAGUCGACAAGCACAGAAGUCUGCGCACUGGAACACUGUACUAGGACCGAGAAGGCAAGAGUUGAAGCAGGCCACUUUGAAGGGGUUUGCGCCGCAGUCCACGCCCUCUACUUGCACCUGCUCCAGGACCAGCCCCAGCACCAGUAGGCACACGAUCGCACUCUCCAGACCCUUUUGGCCUCCUCCCAUGGCUAUGGUUGCCGGGCUCUCUUGCAGAAGGCACAAGUAUUAAUGGGGGCUUCUGGUUGAAGGACAGAUGAGACUAGAGUGAGUUCCAUGGCUCCUGGUAGGGAUUUUUAUACUAGGAGAUGAUGGUCGUGGGAGUGCCUAGAUGAGUACUGGUUGUUGCACGUGAAACCAAAGCACACCGGGGCCAUAGUGUCUUUUCUUCUCCCACACGGGGCAAAAAGUUGGAUCGAUGGCGCGCGGACAAAGUUGGCCGGAGCCGAAGACGGUGACAAUGCUGUGACCUGCGCGAAGCUAUCCAGUAGGAUGUUACGUGCAAGCCGGCGCUUUUUUUUAACUGCAUUUCUAUAAAAAAAUAUACGAUGAAAUACAUUUUUGACGUGAGGUACACAAACAAAAUAAAGUACAGUUUUGCUAAAGCACAUCUAGAUAUGCUCUAAGUAUUGCACAUCUAAAUCCUAUAUCAUUGAUAUUAUUCUAAGAUUCGUGCAAGCAUUUUUUUUCAAUAUUUUUUCUUUUUCUUUCUAGUUUGAUUGAGUCACUUAGAUGUGCAAUAACUACGGAAUGUAGAGUAUUUUAUGGCAUAAGAACAUUUUGUUUAGAUUUUUUUUUUGAAACUUUAAAAUCCGAUUUCGCUCUAGCAGGUCCUAUUUUGUCCCAGCAUGCAACUAUAUAUGGGGCGGGGUUUGGACAAAAUACAUUUUUUUUUGUCAAAAUGACUUGUGUGCCUGGGAAUAGAGGGGAAGUGCCGUAUUAUAUGCCGCCGAAAUACCUUUUUUUUUGUUGGGAACGAUACGUGCAUGCCAGAAAAACAUCUCUCUGCUGUACACAUGUGCAUGCCUUUGAGGUUUGAGCUGGCGAUGUAUAUCAAACAACGUGUGCCCAAUGUCACGUUGGUUUUUCGUGUGCAAGAUUUGUAGAUUGCUGAUCACGCUUGGCGCGGGAAGUUUUUCGUGUGCAGAUACAUGGCUUUAUAUGACAGGUAAACUAGAGCCUUGUCUUUCCCCCUAUACUACUCCUAUCUUUAACUUUAUAAGAGAAAAAUAUAUUUUUCGUCUUUUAACUCUUGGCAAAAUCUAGAUUUAGUCCUUUAACUUUAAAACCAAACAAGUUGCAUUCUAAACUUUUAAAACCGGUAAUACUAUCUUUUACGAAGAACAAUCCUACCUUGUUUACACGUCCACUAAAUGCACCAUUGUAAAUUACUUUGACCGGUUUAAAUGAAAAACAAGGCUGAAAACCAACAUGAGCCAACACCGACACCAACACAAACAUGCCAACACCAUCUAACAUGACCACAAUCCAGAGCGAUAGUAAGCAAGAUCUUCGAAGAUGACUUCAAGAAGAAAAAACAAUGCCUAAAGACGCCGCUGUCACCGGCAUCGACCCCCGUCAAUCAAUAAGCUUUCGCAUAGACCCACACAUGACCGCCCCACCAAACAUUGGGAUAGAUCAAUCCUAGCCAUUAGCCUCCGAUGCCAGUCCUCGCCGACCAGCCACAGAUCAGUGUGAAAAAGUACUCUUCGACAAUAUCUCCAAGAGGAGGAGGACGCCCAUGGGCGCCAACAUCACCGGCAACGACCCCCGACUGAGAACAAGGCUUUCGCCCAGAGUCUUAUGCCUCGCCCCCUCUGAUCCAAGGUGUUGGAAAUAUUGGCAAUUUACCAUAUGAUUUUAUUAACGGAAAUACUAGAUAAAGCAUGACUAAAGUAACAGAGAUAAAGCAAGUCAUGCGAUCUGACAAAGAGAAGGUAGAUAACAUCUGCAAAUAUAAACUAGAACCGAACAUCUCUAGAGUAGACAGUAGACCAAGUAGCAUAUAUGAAGUAGAACCUAUCAUGUGUAGGGCAAGGACUGGAACAAGGAACUGUGGCAGAACCUCUAACAGGAAAAACAAGAACACGUACGGGACAGCAGCUGCAACAGUAGCACUGGACUUGGGGUCGGUGUCCUCGGUAGCCAUGUCGUGGAGGAGGUUGUCAACGUCGGGGAAGUAGUCGUCGUCGGGGACGUAGUCGUCGGAGUCUGGGGUGUCCGUGACGAAGAAGUCAGUAGUCGCGCAGAGCGCUCCCCAAAAACCUUAUCACCCUUCUCCCGUACAGGACUCAAAGAGGUGCGGUUUCGGAGGCCUACUGUCCCGACCUGCGGUGCACGCCGCAAGCGGGAUGAGGAAGAUCGUAGCAGCAGCGCAGUGUUCAGGAACCGGUGGCGAGAGGAAGAAUGAGUUUUGGUACAUCUCUCUGAGAGGAGCGACCUUCCUUUUAUAGGCGCAAGAGAAGGAGGCGAGAGGCUGCGUUGGGAGCUGAAGGGAACGAGGGAGAUGAAACGAACAGAUAGCAGCCGAAGGGUGCAGCAUUCGUAUUCAAUAUCCACUACAGCAAAAACUUUCCAGCUCCCGAGUGACCUUUCGUAUACCCGUAGUGCGUGGAAAAAAUUUAGACAUCGGCUAAUUCCCGCAACCCGCGGCGUGACGAGGCGUGGCGGGGCGGGCGGCGGAGGAGGAGCGCGCGUGGAUGUCCCUCUUGUUCUCAUGCUCAUACAAAUGGGGAAAGAACCUCCCUUAUAAAGAGGUCCAACUCCCUCUAAACUGGCAAUGUGGGACUAAACUUUAGUAGUGUCCCUUGCCUUGCACGAAUGGGCUAAGUGGGCCUCUAGGAUUUAUUAGGAAUUUCUGAAAUUGUUAUUGGGCUAGGCCCAUAAAUAGAUAAAAUUCCAGCAAUCCCCCAAGAUCCUAGAGCCACAUAGAAUUUGCCUUUAGUUCCAAAACACUGUUUUAUAUACCGGUACUGCAGUGGAGACUGUUAAGUUGAACUUCCACCUAGAACUCUAUGCUACACUAGUAAGCAACUUGAACAGUGGACUGGGCCUUGAACUACAAGUUUUCUGCGAAUCUAGCUUCACAUAAAGCCUUGACCGAUACGUGGCUACCGUGGGUCUUCCCGCGGGUGGAGCUUAUGCGUCAUACUCCGAGACCUUUCAUGAGUUUACUAGAGAGAACCCUACUCUCAUAGAUUGCGACGUUUAACAAUCAGACUCAUAUAGGUGUGUUCUUCAAAAGAUGUUCUGCAGGACAACAUCUCUGCUUAAAUGAGCCACUUAGAACACAUUAAGAUAUACAUCAACCUGCCAUACAGUUUUAGGAGAGUAUUGCAUCUUCAUGGAGUGGUAUUGUUAAUAGUAAGGAUACUCUCCUCUCAGUUGAUCAACAGCUUGUCUUCCACAUCUAAUUCACGGGAUCUCCGAUCACAAAGAAUAGGUUACCACUGUGAACAACUCAUAUUGUGGGCUCAUACCCAUCUCCCUCGAUGCAUUAUCUAUCACAUUACGUGAUAGACCCUUAGUAAAAGGAUCUGCCAGAUUUUUAGACUUUUGGAUAUAAUCCAAUGCAAUAACUCCGGAGUUUCUCAUUUUCCUGACAGACUUUAACCUUCUCUGAACGUGUCUUGAUGACUUCAUGUUAUCCUUUGAGCUGCUCACUUUUGUGAUCACAGUUUGAUUGUCGCAGUUCAUAAGGAUACCCGGUACAGGUUUCUCAACAGCCGGCAAGUCAUUCAAGAGCCGGCGAAGCCAAUCUGCUUCGACCGUAGUUGUUUCUAGUGUUGUGAGUUCUGCUUCCAUUGUUGACCUCGUUAAGAUGGUCUGCUUGCAAGACUUCCAAGAAACAGCGCCACCUCCAUGAGUGAAUACAUAACCGCUCGUGGCCUUUAUCUCAUCAGCAUCUGAGAUCCAGUUUGAGUCACUAUACCCUUCAAGCACCUUUGGGUGCCCAGUGUAGUGAAUUCCAUAAUUCGCAGUGCCUUUCAAAUAAUGCAAAACUCUCUCUAGAGCUUUCCAAUGCACAUCUCCUGGUUUUGAGACAAACCGACUCAGUUUGCUAACAGCAAAAGAGAUGUCAGGUCUUGUAGCACUGGCUAAGUACAUAAGCGAGCCAAUAAUCUGAGAAUAUUUCAAUUGAUCUCUAGCAAUUCUUCGAUUCUUUCGAAGUAACACACUCGCAUCAUAUGGUGUUGGAGAGGGCUUGCAGUCACUAUAGCCAAAGCGACUCAAGAUAUUUUCCACAUAGUGAGACUGAAGCAAUGUAAUCCCACCAUCAUCGUCUCUCAACAACUUGAUGUUCAAAAUGACAUCAGCCACUCCUAAAUCCUUCAGCUCAAAACAACGAGAUAGGAAAUCCUUGACCUCCUUAAUAACAUUUAGAUUUGUUCCAAAAAUCAGUAUGUCAUCAACAUACAAGCAAAGAAUAACUCCUUCGCCCCCACCAUGGCGAUAAUACACACAUUUAUCAGCUUCGUUUACAACGAAGCCUGCAGCGGUUAAAGUUCUUUCAAACUUCUCAUGCCACUGUUUGGGUGCUUGCUUGAGUCCAUACAAAGACUUCAGCAACUUGCAAACUUUUCCUUCCUGACCAUCUAGUACAAACCCAUCUGGUUGUUCCAUAUAAAUUUCCUCAUCCAACUCUCCAUUUAGGAAAGCAGUCUUAACAUCCAUUUGAUGAACGAGAAGACCAUGUGAGGCAGCUAGUGAAAGUAGAACUCGAAUAGUGGUCAGUCAAGCCACAGGUGAGUAAGUAUCAAAGAAGUCUUCACCUUCCUUUUGGUUAUAACCCUUAGCCACGAGCCGAGCCUUGUACUUUUCAAUAGUACCAUCAGGCCUAAGCUUCUUCUUGAAUACCCAUUUGCAUCCUAUAGGUUUGCACCCAUAAGGACGAUCAGUUAUCUCCCAAGUUUCAUUCGCCAAGAUGGAAUCCAUCUCGCUACGAACCGCUUCCUUCCAGUAGUCAGCAUCUUCAGAUGCAUAGGCCUCUGAAAUAGAACUGGGAGUGUCAUCUAUGAGAUACACAAGAAAAUCAUCACCAAAGGACUUUGCAAUCCUCUGUCUCUUGCUCCUAGUAGGAACUUCAUUGUUCUCCUCCACAGAGUUUUCAAAGUGUUCCAUCGAAAUGGCAGGUUCGGUAAUUGUAACUAGUUCCUGAUUCGAUGAACUAGGCAUCUCCUGAUUAGACGAGGUAGACAUAUCCUUCAUGGGAAAGAUAUCUUCAAAGAAAGUCGCAUCAUUCGACUCCAUGAUCGUACCGACAUGCAUGUCAGGUACCUCAGAUUUUACAACCAAGAAUCUAUAGCCAAUGCUAUGAAAAGCAUAUCCCAGGAAAACACAAUCCACAGUCUUUGGUCCAAGCUUCCGCUUCUUUGGAAUUGGAACAUUGACUUUCGCCAAACAACCCCAUGUUCGCAGAUAAGAGAGUUUUAACCUUUUCUUCUCCCAUUCCUCGAAUGGAGUUAUCUCUUUGUUUAGGACAAUGACAUGCCGUCAAUAUCGCCUCCCCCCACCAUGCCUUGGAGAGACCCGAUGUGUCUAACAUGGCGUUAACCAAAUCAGUUAGAGUACGGUUCUUUCUUUCGGCCACCCCAUUUGACUGAGGUGAGUAGGGAGGCGUCCUCUCAUGGAUUAUACCAUGUUCCGCACAAAAAGCAUCAAAUUCAUUGGAAAAAUACUCUCCACCACGGUCGGACCUAAGCCUCUUGAUUUUUUGAUCAAGUUGGUUUUCCACUUCAGCUUUAUAGAUCUUGAAAAAGUUCAAAGCCUCAUCCUUAGAUUUCAGAAGAUACACACGGCAAUAUCUAGUGGAGUCGUCAAUUAAUGUCAUGAAAUAUUUCUUUCCACCUUUUGUCAAAACACCAUUCAUUUCACAUAGAUCUGAAUGUAUGAGCUCGAGUGGUGCAAGAUUUCUCGUUUCCGCAGUCGUGUGAGACUUACGAGGUUGCUUAGCUUGCACACACACUUGACACUUAGAUCCCUUGACAGUGGUGAAACUAGGGAUUAAGUUCAACUUCGCUAGUCGCGACAUGCAACCAAAGUUAACACGACAAAGACGUGAAUGCCACACAUUUGAUUCACUAUUGUUGCAAAUAUUUAACAACUUUAUUGCAAACGUCUGAUAAGGCUAAACGAAACAGGCCUCCUGACUCAUAGCCUUUACCAACGAAGGUUCCAUACUUGGAUAUUACAAAUUUAUUCGACUCAAAGACAAGCUUGUAGCCAUCUCUACACAGAAAAGAUCCGCUAACAAAAUUUUUAUUGACGGAGGGGACAUAAUGCACGUUCUUCAGCCGCACGAUCUUCCCCGAAGUAAACUUCAGAUCGACCGUGCCAACACCACGAACAGAAGCACUUGAACCGUUGCCCAUCAACACGGUUGAAGUCCCUGCGGUCUGAUAAGACGAAAACAUGGAAAUAUCACCGCAUACAUGCACAUUAGCACCCGUGUCAAUCAACCAAUCAGGAGAAUGACAUACUGAAAGAAUAGUGGGAAAUAUACCAUACCCAGCAUCCUUUAUGUCAGUGUCUCCAAUGACAACAUUAGCGGUCUUGCCGCCUUUCCCAGGAUGACGCUUGUCAUAGCGAUUAGGGCAACUAGGAGCCCAAUGAUCAGGAUCCCCACACACAUGACAAGCACCUUUCUUCUUGUCAUUCUUCUUCUUGAAGUUCGUGUGUUGCAUAGCCUUGUUCUUCCCAUCAAACUUUGCUUUACCAUCAAACUUGCCCUUGUUCUUGAACUUGUGGGGCUGGAAGUUCUUCUUCUGUACCAGAUUGGCACUAGAUCCUCCCUCAAUACCUCGAGCACGUGUGUCCUUUGCUCUCGCCUUUUCUUCCACAUCAAGAGUGCCAAUGAGAUCCGGAACGGAAAACCCCUGCCUCUUAUGCUUCAGUAAGGUAGCAAAGUUCCUCCAUGAAGGAGGAAGCUUAUUGAUGAUACCUCCGGCAACAAACUUGUCCGGUAGCAUACAACUGAAGUGCUCAAGUUCUCUAGCAAAUGACUGUAUCUCAUGAGCUUGCUCAACCACGGAGCGCUCUUCAGUCAUCCUGUAACCAUAGAAUUGCUCCAUGAUGUACAGCUCAGUGCCAGCAUCCGAGACCCCAAACUUGGCCUCAAGUGCAUCCCACAUAUCUUUUCCAUUAUCAAUUGACGCAUAAGCAUCAAUUAUGUUCUCACCAAGAACACUCAAGAAAGCAGCCUUAAACAGAGUAUCCAUUUUCUAAAAAGCUUGUGCCUGUUGAGCAUCAAGAUCUCCUUCAGGUUUGCCAAGAAUGGUUUGAAACCAUAAGACUGCUCUCACGCGCCACCUCUUAUAGUGGAUACCCUCAAACAUAGGAGGUCUCAUGGAAGCAGCAAAACCACUUGGUGUAAAUUGCCUAUAAUAAGGUUUUUGGAUUGUUGGAAAUAUUGGCAAUUUACCAUAUGAUUUUAUUAACGGAAAUACUAGAUAAAGCAUGACUAAAGUAACAGAGAUAAAGCAAGUCAUGCGAUCUGACAAAGAGAAGGUAGAUAACAUCUGCAAAUAUAAACUAGAACCGAACAUCUCUAGAGUAGACAGUAGACCAAGUAGCAUAUAUGAAGUAGAACCUAUCAUGUGUAGGGCAAGGACUAGAACAAGGAACUGUGGCAGAACCUCUAACAGGAAAAACAAGAACACGUACGGGACGGCAGCUGCAACAGUAGCACUAGACUUGGGGUCGGUGUCCUCGGUAGCCAUGUCGUGGAGGAGGUUGUCGACGUCGGGGAAGUAGUCGUCGGAGUCCGGGGUGUCCGUGACGAAGAAGUCAGUAGUCGCGCAGAGCGCUCCCCAAAAACCUUAUCAUCCUUCUCCCGUACAGGACUCAAAGAGGUGCGGUUUGGGAGGCCUACUGUCCCGACCUGCGGUGCAUGCCGCAAGCCGGGAUUAGGAAGAUCAUAGCAGCAGCACAGUGUUCAGGAACCGGUGGCGAGAGGAAGAAUGAGUUUGGUACAUCUCUCUGAGAGGAGCGACCUCCCUUUUAUAGGCGCAAGAGAAGGAGGCGAGAGGCUGCGUCGGGAGCUGAAGGGGACGAGGGAGAUGAAACGAACAGAUAGCAGCCGAAGGGUGCAGCAUUCGUAUUCAAUAUCCACUACAGCAAAAACUUUUCAGCUCCCGAGUGACCUUUCGUAUACCCUAGUGCGUGGCAAAAAUUUAGACAUUGGCUCAUUCCCGCAACCCGUGGCGAGGCGUGGCGGGCGACGGAGGAGGAGCGCGCGUGGAUGUCCCUCUUGUUCUCAUACUCAUACAAAUGGGGAAAGAACCUCCCUCAUAAAGAGGUCCAACUCCCUCUAAACUGGCAAUGUGGGGCUAAACUUUAGUAGUGUCCCUUGCCUUGCACGAAUGGGCUAAAUGGGCCUUUAGGAUUUAUUAGGAAUUUCUGAAAUUAUUACUGGGCUAGGCCCAUAAAUAGAUAAAAUUCCAGCAAGGUAGGGGCCAGGCCCCUGCAAACAUCAACAUCGACGAACCAAACCAGAAGGAAAAAAGAAACGCCCCGGCCUCCACAACACCAUGAAGGGCUGCCUGCAUAGGUGUUGACACCACCACCACCACUACUACGAGGACUCUUGAAGCCACAAUGCAGCAACCGCCUCGCAUCCGCGCUGUCGACGGAGGCCAACCUCGCCGCCAACUAACGCUCUAGUCUGCUGCCCGUGCAACCGCGACCAAAGCACGCCAACGACGCCUACCAACACCACCACUGUGCUACCAUUCGCCACGCGCCGCACUGCCACACCCAUCGCCGUCCCGUAGAGGGAAAAGUGCAGCUGUGCCGUCACCGACCCCAAGAGGUCACCUCCAAAGACGGAGCAGCAGAUCGGGCGCCGCCCCGAUCUGAGCCCUUCGAGCCGGCGCACGAGCAACCACCGCCGCGCAGCACUGGCGCCUCCCAGACGGAGUUCAUAUCCACAGGCAAAUGAUACAACAUAUACCAUUAUAUCUCAGUCAUGGUAGUACAUCAGGGCAGCAACAUGGCAUCCAUCAUGAUGGCUUUUAUUUCGAACAAGGAAUGGAAAUACACACACAUAAAACAGAGUGACACACUGGUUUGGAUACUCUCGAUGGGAUCCAAUUUUAUUGAACGCAAAGGUGAGACACGACCUUGCCCUGUGAAAUCUCAGACCAUGGAUACGCAUCAUUACGCAUCAAGGGAAGUGAGGCCAGCAUCACCGUUACAGAAAUUGACACAAGCAUCGCCACAAUUUUCCACAUAGAGUUUCAUCUCUUCAUCGUCAGCAGCUG
rnacentral:lncRNA from 1 species